rnacentral:rRNA from 1 species
AUAAGAAAAGAAGAGCGUAUGGAGGAUGCCUAGGCACAAUGAGGCGAAGAAGGACGCAGCAAACGGCGAAACGCAGCGGCGAGUGGUAAGCACACGCAAGAGCCGCUGAUAUCCGAAUGGGGGAACCCACUAUCUACGAGAUAGUAUCCAUGCAUGAAUACAUAAUGCAUAGGAAGCAAGACGCAGGGAACUGAAACAUCUAAGUACCUGUAGGAGAAGAAAAUAAAGAAUGAUUUCCUGAGUAGUGGCGAGCGAAAGGGAAGGAGCCCAAACCAAGAGUUAUCUUGGGGUUAUAGGACAGUCAAGAAAGGCAAGACACUUUACAGAAGAAAUACAUGGGAAGGUAUGCGAGACAGGGUGAGAGCCCCGUAUUCGAAGUAGAGCGAAGCCAAGACUGAUCCUGAGUACGGCGGGACACGAGAAAUCCUGUCGGAAGGAUCGAGGACCAUCUCGAAAGGCUAAAUACUCCAUUGUGACCGAUAGUGAACCAGUACCGUGAGGGAAAGGUGAAAAGAACCCCGGGAGGGGAGUGAAAGAGAACCUGAAACCAUAUGCUUACAAGAAGUCAGAGCCCGUUAAGGGGUGAUGGCGUGCCUUUUGUAGAAUGAACCGGCGAGUUAUGAUAGUCAGCGAGGUUAAGCAGGAGAUGCGGAGCCGAAGCGAAAGCGAGUCUGAAAAGGGCGAAUAGUUGGAUGUCAUAGACCCGAAACCGAGUGAUCUAGCCAUGACCAGGUUGAAGUUGGGGUAAAACCCGAUGGAGGACCGAACCGACCCCCGUUGAAACGUUGGCGGAUGAGUUGUGGCUAGGGGUGAAAUUCCAAACGAACUCGGAGAUAGCUGGUUCUCCCCGAAAUAGCUUUAGGGCUAGCGUCAGGGUAAAGUAGCGUGAAGGUAGAGCACUGAAUAUGUGAUGGCCCCAUCCCGGGGUACUGAACAUAAUCAAACUCCGAAUGUCACGAAAACAUACCUGGCAGUCAGACAGUGGGUGAUAAGGUCCAUUGUCAAAAGGGAAACAGCCCAGACCAUCAGCUAAGGUCCCAAAAUUAUUGCUAAGUGGAAAAGGAUGUGGAGAUGUCCAGACAACUAGGAGGUUGGCUCAGAAGCAGCCACCCUUUAAAGAGUGCGUAACAGCUCACUAGUCGAAUGACUCUGCGCCGAAAAUUUACCGGGGCUAAGCAAUAUACCGAAGCUAUGGAUUGACAUUGAAAAAUGUGAGUGGUAGGGGAGCGUUCUAUCAUCGGAGAAGCAUGAUCGUAAGGACAUGUGGAGAGGAUAGAAGAGAGAAUGCCGGUGUGAGUAGCGGAACGUGGGUGAGAAUCCCACGCACCGAAAACCCAAGGUUUCCAGAGGAAGGUUCGUCCGCUCUGGGUAAGUCGGGACCUAAGGCGAGGCCGAAAGGCGUAGUCGAUGGACAACAGGUGGAGAUUCCUGUACCUAAUAAAGAGUGAUGGAGUGACGGAGAAGGCUAGACAGGUCCGGCGGAUGGAAGAGCCGGAGCAAGCGGGAUAUCUGGUGUGUAGAAAAAUGCGCAUACCGCAAGGAGAAGACGUGAAGCGUAUGGAAAGGGGCGACCCAAGUACAGAAGCUGUCGAAGCAAGCUUCCAAGAAAAGCUUCUAGCAAAUUUUUAUUAGCCCGUACCGAUAAUGGACACACAUGGGUGAGGAGAGAAUCCUAAGGUGAGCGAGAGAACUAUGGCCAAGGAACUCUGCAAAAUGACUCCGUAACUUCGGGAGAAGGAGUGCUUAUGAAAAUAAGCCGCAGUAAAACGGCCCAAGCGACUGUUUAUCAAAAACACAGCUCUAUGCGAAGCCGCAAGGCGAAGUAUAUGGGGUGACGCCUGCCCGGUGCUGGAAGGUUAAGAGGAGUUGUAAGAUCGUAAGGUCGAAGCAAUGAAUUGAAGCCCCAGUAAACGGCGGCCGUAACUAUAACGGUCCUAAGGUAGCGAAAUUCCUUGUCAGGUAAGUUCUGACCCGCACGAAAGGCGUAACGAUUUGGGCGCUGUCUCGGCUGUAGACUCGGUGAAAUCUUAGUACCUGUGAAGAUGCAGGUUACCCGCGACUAGACGGAAAGACCCCAUGGAGCUUUACUGUAGCUUGAUAUUGGACUUUGAUGAAGGAUGUACAGAAUAGGUAGGAGACAGGGAUACAUGCACGCCAGUGUGUGAGGAGUCGACGUUGGGAUACUACCCUUCCUUGAUUGGGGUUCUAACCGGAUGCUUUGAAGCAAGCAACGGGACAGUGUCAGGUGGGCAGUUUGACUGGGGCGGUCGCCUCCCAAAGAGUAACGGAGGCGCCCAAAGAUACCCUCAGCUUGGAUGGAAAUCAAGCGCAGAGUGCAAAGGCAAAAGGGUGUUUGACUGCGAGACAGACAAGUCGAGCAGGGACGAAAGUCGGGCUUAGUGAUCCGGCGGUACCGAAUGGAAGGGCCGUCGCUCAACGGAUAAAAGCUACCCUGGGGAUAACAGGCUGAUCUCCCCCAAGAGUUCACAUCGACGGGGAGGUUUGGCACCUCGAUGUCGGCUCAUCGCAUCCUGGAGCUGAAGUCGGUUCCAAGGGUUGGGCUGUUCGCCCAUUAAAGCGGUACGCGAGCUGGGUUCAGAACGUCGUGAGACAGUUCGGUCCCUAUCUGUCGUGGGCGCAGGAAGUUUGAGAAGAGCUGUCCUUAGUACGAGAGGACCGGGAUGGACACACCAAUGGUGGACCAGUUGUCACGCCAGUGGCACAGCUGGGUAGCUAAGUGUGGCAGGAAUAAACGCUGAAGGCAUCUAAGCGUGAAAUCCCCUUCAAGAUGAGACUUCCGGACGCAAGUUGGAAGACCCCUUAAAGACGAUAAGGUAGAUAGGUCAGGAGUGGAAGUAUAGUGAUAUAUGGAGCGGACUGAUACUAAUAGGUCGAGAACUUAACCU